GAUGAACGCUGGCGGCGUGCCUAAUACAUGCAAGUCGAGCGAAUGGAUUAAGAGCUUGCUCUUAUGAAGUUAGCGGCGGACGGGUGAGUAACACGUGGGUAACCUGCCCAUAAGACUGGGAUAACUCCGGGAAACCGGGGCUAAUACCGGAUAACAUUUUGAACCGCAUGGUUCGAAAUUGAAAGGCGGCUUCGGCUGUCACUUAUGGAUGGACCCGCGGCGCAUUAGCUAGUUGGUGAGGUAACGGCUCACCAAGGCAACGAUGCGUAGCCGACCUGAGAGGGUGAUCGGCCGCACUGGGACUGAGACACGGCCCAGACUCCUACGGGAGGCAGCAGUAGGGAAUCUUCCGCAAUGGACGAAAGUAUGACGGAGCAACGCCGCGUGAGUGAUGAGGGCUUUCGGGUCGUAAAACUCUGUUGUUAGGGAAGAACAAGUGCUAGUUGAAUAAGCUGGCACCUUGACGGUACCUAACCAGAAAGCCACGGCUAACUACGUGCCAGCAGCCGCCGCCG
rnacentral:rRNA from 1 species